rnacentral:rRNA from 1 species
UACGUAUGGUGCAAGCGUUAUCCGGAUUUACUGGGUGUAAAGGGAGCGCAGGCGGUGCAGCAAGUCUGAUGUGAAAGCCCGGGGCUCAACCCCGGUACUGCAUUGGAAACUGUCGUACUAGAGUGUCGGAGGGGUAAGCGGAAUUCCUAGUGUAGCGGUGAAAUGCGUAGAUAUUAGGAGGAACACCAGUGGCGAAGGCGGCUUACUGGACGAUAACUGACGCUGAGGCUCGAAAGCGUGGGGAGCAAACAGG